rnacentral:antisense_RNA from 1 species
CUUGACGGAACCGAGCCACAACGGCUCCCCCUCGCCGCGGUCCUGGCCGUACGUCGCGAGCAGGGCCUGCGCCUC